UAAAAGUUUAGGGGGAAAAUAAAAAGUUUUGAAGAAUAAAAGUUUAAGGGAAAGUAAAUAGGGGGAGUAAAAUUUUGGAGAGAAAAUAUUAAAAAAAAAAUGGAGGGGGGAGGGUUUGGGGUAGAUGGGAGGUGAGAUGGGAAGGGAAUAAAAGUUUUAGGGGAAAAGUAGGAGGGAGUAAAAAUUUUGGGGAAAAAUAAAAGGUUUUGAGGGUUUUGGGGAGUAAAUUUUUGAGAAAAAGUAAAUGGGAGAGUAAAAUUUUGGUGGGAAAUGAAUUUUGGGUAGAUUGGGGGGUUGGGAGGGGAGGGGAGUAAAAGUUUUGGGGGAAAAGUGGGAAGGAGUAAAAGUUUUAAG
rnacentral:lncRNA from 1 species